CACACUAUCAUUAACUGAAUCCAUAGGUUAAUGAGGCGAACCGGGGGAACUGAAACAUCUAAGUACCCCGAGGAAAAGAAAUCAACCGAGAUUCCCCCAGUAGCGGCGAGCGAACGGGGAGCAGCCCAGAGCCUGAAUCAGUGUGUGUGUUAGUGGAAGCGUCUGGAAAGGCGCGCGAUACAGGGUGACAGCCCCGUACACAAAAAUGCACAUGCUGUGAGCUCGAUGAGUAGGGCGGGACACGUGGUAUCCUGUCUGAAUAUGGGGGGACCAUCCUCCAAGGCUAAAUACUCCUGACUGACCGAUAGUGAACCAGUACCGUGAGGGAAAGGCGAAAAGAACCCCGGCGAGGGGAGUGAAAAAGAACCUGAAACCGUGUACGUACAAGCAGUGGGAGCACGCUUCGGCGUGUGACUGCGUACCUUUUGUAUAAUGGGUCAGCGACUUAUAUUCUGUAGCAAGGUUAACCGAAUAGGGGAGCCGAAGGGAAACCGAGUCUUAACUGGGCGUUAAGUUGCAGGGUAUAGACCCGAAACCCGGUGAUCUAGCCAUGGGCAGGUUGAAGGUUGGGUAACACUAACUGGAGGACCGAACCGACUAAUGUUGAAAAAUUAGCGGAUGACUUGUGGCUGGGGGUGAAAGGCCAAUCAAACCGGGAGAUAGCUGGUUCUCCCCGAAAGCUAUUUAGGUAGCGCCUCGUGAAUUCAUCUCCGGGGGUAGAGCACUGUUUCGGCAAGGGGGUCAUCCCGACUUACCAACCCGAUGCAAACUGCGAAUACCGGAGAAUGUUAUCACGGGAGACACACGGCGGGUGCUAACGUCCGUCGUGAAGAGGGAAACAACCCAGACCGCCAGCUAAGGUCCCAAAGUCAUGGUUAAGUGGGAAACGAUGUGGGAAGGCCCAGACAGCCAGGAUGUUGGCUUAGAAGCAGCCAUCAUUUAAAGAAAGCGUAAUAGCUCACUGGUCGAGUCGGCCUGCGCGGAAGAUGUAACGGGGCUAAACCAUGCAC
rnacentral:rRNA from 1 species